CCAAUGCGGAUACCCUGGGGGUCGCUCUCCCAGGCUCUGUCAGGUGGCAGUGGGAGUGCAGGGCUCUGCCCUGUGAUGUACAGUCCCUUUCCACAACAUCUGAGAUGAAGCUAGGCCCCAAGUCCGCGCCUGCAUAUUCCUACAGCUCAGAGUCCCAUGGACCGUGACUGAGGAGAUAAACCAUGCAGGAAACAGUU
rnacentral:snoRNA from 1 species